rnacentral:rRNA from 1 species
UACAGAGGGUGCGAGCGUUGUUCGGAAUUAUUGGGCGUAAAGGGUGCGUAGGCGGUGCCACAAGUCACCUGUGAAAUCCCCGGGCUUAACUCGGGGCCUGCAGGCGAAACUGUGGUGCUGGAGUAUGGGAGAGGUGCGUGGAAUUCCCGGUGUAGCGGUGAAAUGUGUUGAUAUCAUCAGGAACUCCGGUGGCGAAAGCGGCGCGCUGGACCUCAACUGACGCUGAUGCGCGAAAGCCAGGGGAGCAAACGGG